AAAAUCAUCAUAAGAAAUUAUGUCACAUCCGACCCUUAAAUUUUUACCUUAUUUACUAGCUUGGUUAUAAUAAGAAUUUUACCGUCUCCGUCAUUGAGGUAAUAGUUUAAUCGGUCCCUAGAGGUGUUUUGAGGGACGAUUAAUUUCGGGGAGUUAUUCGUGGGAGAAAAUAUGACAACGGUAAAAAUGGUAAAUAUUAGCUAGUAAAAAGUAAUUUUUAUACGAGUAUUAUUUUUCGGGGUGUUUUAUUUCUGGAUUUGGGUGGUAUAAGAAGGUUGGACCGGGCCAAGGGGUGGUCAAAGCCCAGCCCUUUUUUCUCUCUCUCUCCCUCCCGGUUUUCCGCACCCGAGCCUCUCUCUCCCCGCCGGUUUUCUUCUUGGCUGCCCGCCGCCGUCCGGCCACCAACCGCUGCCGCACCGGUCCUGUUCGGUCGACCAUCAACCCAGCCACCUUCCUGGACCGGUGACAGCCCCCCUAGCGCCGCCGAUCGGGUGGAAUCUAGCUCCCUCCUCCGGCCGCCAAAGACGGGCGAUUCUUGGCUGAAAAGAAAGCUCUCCUCCCGUGCAGCAACCCCUCCAAAGAGCUCGCCCUCUCGUGGUCUAGGUAAGGAGAACCGGUGAGUGGAAGCUCUAGGGCUUUUUGAGUUGUUUUCGUUCGAUUAGCCUAGUUAGGCUUGGAAUUGGGUGUUGUGCUGGUCAUGAAAGUUGUAGAGCAUGAUGAGGUGAUUGUUCUGUCAAAAUUUCAUAGGUUUUGGAGGUCGCCGGAUUUGGCCUCCGGCCGCCGCUGCCGGUUAAGAGAUUUUUAGGGUUUUAAGUGUGGAAUAUUAAGAGGAGUAUAUUGAUGUGAUUUAUGGAAUUUUUGGAUGAGAUUUGGAUAGGUUUGUGAAUUUCUGAAGUGUGGUAUUUUUGGCGGUUAAUUAAUGUAGAAUCCGGCCGUAGGAUUUAAGUCGUAUUUUUGGGGAGGUUGUAAUUACGGCUGCCGAGUAUGAUAUUUAAGUUCGGAUCGUUUCGAUUUAAGAAUAUCGAAAUUAGGCAAUGAUGAGCGUAGUU
rnacentral:lncRNA from 1 species